UGGGGAAUAUUGCACAAUGGGCGCAAGCCUGAUGCAGCCAUGCCGCGUGUAUGAAGAAGGCCUUCGGGUUGUAAAGUACUUUCAGUCGGGAGGAAGGUGGUAAGGUUAAUAACCUUGGCAAUUGACGUUACCGACAGAAGAAGCACCGGCUAACUCCGUGCCAGCAGCCGCGGUAAUACGGAGGGUGCAAGCGUUAAUCGGAAUUACUGGGCGUAAAGCGCACGCAGGCGGUUUGUUAAGUCAGAUGUGAAAUCCUCGGGCUCAACCUGGGAACUGCAUCUGAUACUGGCAAGCUUGAGUCUCGUAGAGGGGGGUAGAAUUCCAGGUGUAGCGGUGAAAUGCGUAGAGAUCUGGAGGAAUACCGGUGGCGAAGGCGGCCCCCUGGACGAAGACUGACGCUCAGGUGCGAAAGCGUGGGGAGCAAACAGG
rnacentral:rRNA from 1 species